CAUUGGACAAUUGUGGUCUUUGACAAUGCUGAUAGAAUAUGGAGACACUAUGACUCUUUGAGACCAGCAAAAGAUUGCCACAACAAGCACUUUGAAAUUGCAAAGCAAAUUCAACAACAUCAACUGAGAUGGAAUAAAGCAUUACUCAGCAAACAGGGAAACAUGUUAUCAUCUCAAGAGUGCGAGACAGAAAUUGCAUCAAUUGAGGAAUGCCCACAACAAACCCCACACUCGAAUGAUUGUGCAAUCGCCGUCUGCAAUGUUAUCAACCAAUAUCUCAACUGGCAACCUGUGCAGAAAAAACUUCGUCCAACUGAGUGGGUCAAAUUUCGAGCACAAAUCAUCAAUCAAUUCCUCAAUGAUGAGAACCGAUCCUGGAAACUC